UACGGAGGGUGCGAGCGUUGUCCGGAAUCACUGGGCGUAAAGGGCGCGUAGGCGGCCUGAUAAGUAGGGGGUGAAAUCCUGCGGCUUAACCGCAGGGCUGCCUUCUAAACUGUCGGGCUAGAGCACGGUAGAGGCAGAUGGAAUUCCCGGUGUAGCGGUGGAAUGCGUAGAUAUUCGCAAGAACACCAGUGGCGAAGGCGGCUCACUGGCCCGGUACUGACGCUGAGGUGCGAAAGCGUGGGGAGCAAACAGG
rnacentral:rRNA from 1 species